rnacentral:rRNA from 1 species
ACAGCAGCCGCCGCGGUAAUACGGAGGGUGCAAGCGUUAUCCGGAUUUAUUGGGUUUAAAGGGUCCGUAGGCGGAUCUGUAAGUCAGUGGUGAAAUCUCACAGCUUAACUGUGAAACUGCCAUUGAUACUGCAGGUCUUGAGUAAAUUUGAAGUGGCUGGAAUAAGUAGUGUAGCGGUGAAAUGCAUAGAUAUUACUUAGAACACCAAUUGCGAAGGCAGGUCACUAAGAUUUAACUGACGCUGAUGGACGAAAGCGUGGGGAGCGAACAGGAUUAGAUACCCGCGUAGUCCCUGUCUCUUAUAC